GAAGGGUAAAUGAAUCUGCUUAUGUUUUGGCUAAUUGUUGGAAGAGUUUGAACAGUAGUCUUGUAAAGAGCUGAAUGAAGGAGAGAAGUGAGAGC